AUCUCUGCUCUCCAAGGGCUCGUAGUGCCUGAAGCCGACACUCUCUCUCCUGCACACACACAGGUCGAUGCCUUCUUGUUCCCAGUGCUUCAGAACAGAGCUGGCAGCGGCUGCGGCAGGAGCAGCUCCCACUGACAGGCUCCUGCAGCCUCCUUCCCACCUGCACAGGAAAAAAGCCCGCAUCCAUUCUGUAAGGAGCUAGAGCAGCUCUUUGGCAUCCUGUACAGGCCUUGGAAUGCUUCAGGGAAAAAAGAUGAUUCCGCAUCAGAAUGGCUGUGGUCAGACUUGCUGGCAGAAGCCUCCCCCAGGCUCUUGACAUGUGGCUUCUGGUCCCUUUUCCUGCCACACCCCUGGGUUCCGCGCAGACCUGGGUCCUUGAAGAACUGAAAUUCUAGCUCAACCUCGGCAACUCUGUAGCCAUUCGCUGGAAAUUUCCUAAGAGAAUAAAUUGCAACACAGUGCG
ensembl:lncRNA novel transcript